rnacentral:rRNA from 1 species
AGGGAGAGCGACGGGCGAUGUGUGCACAUUUCAGAGCUCUUUUCAAUUUUACUUGCUAAAUAAAAUUUACUGUCAAAUCCACCUUAUGACUCUUUUUCAUAGAAUCUUCCGUGUAGUUAAUAACUAUUGUAACCCACCUCCACCUUUUCAUUGACUGCACCUUGACCUGAAGUUGUUAAGGAUCUUGGUAAGGAUAAUCUCUUGUGAGAAUUAUCUGGCAACGGCGGUAUACAAGUUUAAGCAGAAAAGGUAGGGUAAAGCGGGGAUUGUCGAUUAGGGGGCAGGUUCCUCUGAGGAGAAUGAAAUGCCGCCAAAUUCUUUGGGUUUGAAGAAUAUCUUUUACUACCCAG